GUGUAACACCUGUGACACAGAGCGCUUUCUGACGGCCCGCCAGGCGUGUGUGGCAAAGUGCCCGUCUGGUACUUUCGUCAAUGCCACGUCGGGCCACUGUAACGACUGUCUGCCAGGCUGUGUUCUGUGCCAGGAUGCCCAUCGGUGCCAGAGGUGCCGGACUGGACACACACACCUCUACCUGCAGGGCGACCAGUGUGUUCCCGAGUGCCAGAGGGGUUACCCUAAGGGGGCGAGUGCCAGCCCUGUGCCCCAGAG